rnacentral:rRNA from 1 species
CAGUCGCCACGGUAAUACGUAGGGUGCAAGCGUUAAUCGGAAUUACUGGGCGUAAAGCGUGCGCAGGCGGUUAUGCAAGACAGAUGUGAAAUCCCCGGGCUCAACCUGGGAACUGCAUGUGUGACUGCAUGACUAGAGUACGGCAGAGGGGGAUGGAAUUCCGCGUGUAGCAGUGAAAUGCGUAGAUAUGCGGAGGGACACCGAUGGCGAAGGCAAUCCCCUGAGCCUGUACUGACGCUCAUGCACGAAAGCGUGGGGAGCAAACAGGAUUAGAUACCCGAGUAGUCCCUGUCUCUUAUAC